AUUCAUAUAGCUUAUACAGAGUAUAAUAUUGAAGAUAUUAAGGAAAAAUUAUUUUUGUGGAUA
rnacentral:tRNA from 1 species